rnacentral:piRNA from 1 species
UCAGCCCUGACCCCGGAACUCCUCACACC